CCUACGGGUGGCAGCAGUGGGGAAUAUUGCACAAUGGGGGAAACCCUGAUGCAGCGACGCCGCGUGAGCGAAGAAGUAUUUCGGUAUGUAAAGCUCUAUCAGCAGGGAAGAAAAUGACGGUACCUGAGUAAGAAGCUCCGGCUAAAUACGUGCCAGCAGCCGCGGUAAUACGUAUGGAGCAAGCGUUCUCCGGAUUUACUGGGCUUAAAGGGAGCGUAGGCGGGCGUUCAAGUCAGCUGUAAAAUCGCGCGGCUCAACCGCGCCCCGCAGUUGAAACUGGACGCCUUGAGUUCACAACAGGCAGGCGGAAUUCGUGGUGUAGCGGUGAAAUGCAUAGAUAUCACGAGGAACCCCGAUUGCGAAGGCAGCCUGCCGGGGUGCGACUGACGCUGAGGCUCGAAGGUGCGGGUAUCAAACAGGAUUAGAUACCCCAGUAGUC
rnacentral:rRNA from 1 species